UAAUUAAUAUAGGAUUUUCCCUUUUCUGACUAAACUUGCACUGGAUUGUACAUUUAAUCUGCCCAAAUUGCUGGCAUCUUAAGGGGUGACUAACAUACAAUAAAGGGAUAAAUAUUCUAAGACCAAAUGUAGCACUGGCUAACUGAAGGGUCAUGCAGUUAGAGAAUAUAGCCUCUUUGCAAAAUGAUGGGGACUUGCAGGUUGAGACCCACAAUCACAGCCACUGCUAACCUUAAAAAGGAACUUUGUUACAGGGCUCUGAGCACAAGCUGGUCUUCCUUUCAAGUGGUGUAUAUAUUAUUUGCGAAUGCCUCUGCAGUUGUGUAUACUUUGUACAUACUAGAGGUUUAAAAGAAAAAGAAAAAUCUCUAUAUUAAUUAAACUUAGAGUUUCUUAUGGCUUCAGUUCAAUGACACGAGAUCUUAAUAAAAAUAUGUUAAUGAGC